CGUUAACACUCCUACGGGAGGCAGCAGUGGGGAAUAUUGCACAAUGGGGGAAACCCUGAUGCAGCCAUGCCGCGUGUGUGAAGAAGGCCUUCGGGUUGUAAAGCACUUUCAGUAGGGAGGAAGGUAGUGUAGUUAACACCUGCAUUAUUUGACGUUACCUACAGAAGAAGCACCGGCUAACUCCGUGCCAGCAGCCGCGGUAAUACGGAGGGUGCGAGCGUUAAUCGGAAUUACUGGGCGUAAAGCGCAUGCAGGCGGCCUGUUAAGUCAGAUGUGAAAGCCCGGGGCUUAACCUCGGAAUUGCAUUUGAAACUGGCAGGCUAGAGUCUUGUAGAGGGGGUAGAAUUUCAGGUGUAGCGGUGAAAAUGCGUAGAGAUCUGAAGGAAUACCGGUGGCGAAGGCGGCCCCCUGGACAGAUACUGACACUCAGAUGCGAAAGCGUGGGGAGCAAACAGGAUUAGAUACCCUGGUAG
rnacentral:rRNA from 1 species